rnacentral:rRNA from 1 species
UACGUAGGGGGGCAAGCGUUGUCCGGAAUCAUUGGGCGUAAAGCGCGCGUAGGCGGUCCGAUAAGUCUGCUGUGAAAGUCGGGGGGCUCAACCCCUCGGAUGCCGGUGGAUACUGUCGGGCUUGAGUGCGGAAGAGGCGAGUGGAAUUCCUGGUGUAGCGGUGAAAUGCGCAGAUAUCAGGAGGAACACCAAUUGCGAAGGCAGCUCGCUGGGCCGUCAACUGACGCUGAGUGAGCGACGAACGUGGGGAGCAACAGG